rnacentral:rRNA from 1 species
ACGGGAGGCAGCAGUGGGGAAUAUUGGGCAAUGGGCGAAAGCCUGACCCAGCAACGCCGCGUGAAGGAAGAAGGUCUUCGGAUUGUAAACUUCUUUUAUGAGGGACGAAGGCCGUGACGGUACCUCAUGAAUGAGCCACGGCUAACUACGUGCCAGCAGCCGCGGUAAUACGUAGGUGGCAAGCGUUAUCCGGAUUUACUGGGUGUAAAGGGCGCGUAGGCGGGGAUGCAAGUCAGAUGUGAAAUCCAUGGGCUUAACUCAUGAACUGAAUUUGAAACUGUAUCUCUUGAGUGCUGGAGAGGUAGAUGGAAUUCCUUGUGUAGCGGUGAAAUGCGUAGAUAUAAGGAAGAACACCAGUGGCGAAGGCGAUCUACUGGACAGUAACUGACGCUGAGGCGCGAAAGCGUGGGGAGCAAACAGGAUUAGAUACCCUGGUA